UUUAUAAGAGAUUUAGUUAGAUAUUGUACCAAAAAUAACUUGAUUUCUAACUUCUAAUUCUCAACUGAUAUUUUAUUUCACAGUUUCAAUUGCCAAUUUGGAAUAAUAUAUUUUAUAUAUAUCUUAGAAAAUGUUGGAUAUAUUUUAAAUAAUACAAGUCUAUACCUGCUUUUCUUAUCUGGAACUUCAGAAACUCUAGCUAUUUAUAUAUAUAUACACCACCAACCAUUGACAAGUAUGUAGUUCAUAAGACUUUUUAAUAUUCGUCUCGUUUAAAUUAAAACCACAACACUCUCUCCUCUACAUAAUCCUCAGCUCCCAACUUAUCAUUGAGUUAGAAUGAAUCAACCUUCAGCCGUAGUGGAAAAACCUUCACAGGGGCCGUACACGAGUCCACCGCCGAUUGGUUAUCCGACCAGAGAUGCUGUGGUUGGUGAUCCUCGGGUAUCGUCAGUGGAGACGAAGUCCAAGGGUGAUGAUGGGAUUUUUGCAAGAUGUUGGGUUCUCAUAUGCUGUUGUGUUGUCCUGGACGAUUGGUGUUGUUGUAGCUGAGACUUGGGAGUUAAAGAUUUCAUGCAGAUUAUUGCUAUAAUAAAAUAUAUAUUUGAUGAUUGUUGUGUUACUUUUUAAUUACUCUUUAUAUGUGGAAUAUGUUCUGCCGAUGGUUAUUUUAUUUAUGUUUUGCAAUAUAAAAUUAAAGGUCAUGAUAUAUAUUAAAGUGAUCGAAUUAAUAUAUAUAAUUAUAUAAAUCGAUUUUGGAUACAUUCAGAUACUUGAAAUAUUUUGGUUCGGAUCAGAUUAGGUUUCAGUUAUCUAAAUACUAAAAUUUUGAAUA